AGAACGAACGCUGGCGGCAGGCCUAACACAUGCAAGUCGAACGCCCUAGCAAUAGGGAGUGGCAGACGGGUGAGUAACGCGUGGGAACCUUCCCUAUAGUACGGAAUAUACCAGGGAAACUUGGAGCAAUACCGUAUACGCCCGAAAGGGGAAAGAUUUAUCGCUAUAGGAUGGGCCCGCGUAGGAUUAGCUAGUUGGUGAGGUAAUGGCUCACCAAGGCGACGAUCCUUAGCUGGUCUGAGAGGAUGAUCAGCCACACUGGGACUGAGACACGGCCCAGACUCCUACGGGAGGCAGCAGUGGGGAAUAGUUGGGCAAGUGGGCGCAAGCCUGACCCAGCCAUGCCGCGUGAGUGACGACGGCCUUAGGGUUGUAAAGCUCUUUGGCGGGACGAUAAUGACGGUACCCGCAGAAGUAAGCCCCGGCUAACUUCGUGCCAGCAGCCGC
rnacentral:rRNA from 1 species